rnacentral:rRNA from 1 species
AUUGAACGCUGGCGGCAGGCCUAACACAUGCAAGUCGAACGAGUGGCGGACGGGUGAGUAAUGUCUGGGAAACUGCCCUAUGGAGGGGGAUAACUACUGGAAACUGUAGCUAAUACCGCAUACCAUCGGAUGUGCCCAUAUGGGAUUAGCUAGUGGGUGGGGUAACGGCUCACCUAGUCGACGAUCCCUAGCUGGUCUGAGAGGAUGACCAGCCACACUGGGACUGAGACACGGCACAGACUCCUACGGGAGGCAGCAGUGGGGAAUAUUGCGCAAUGGGCGCAAGCCUGAUGCAGCCAUGCCGCGUGUAUGAAGAAGGCCUUCGGGUUGUAAAGUACUUUCAGCGAGGAGGCGUUAACUGCAGAAGAAGCACCGGCUAACUCCGUGCCAGCAGCCGCGGUAAUAC